AUUCUUUCGCAGAGGCGAUAUCAUAACCUGUGAGGUCCAGCUGAGGAGUGAUUAUUGCUGGUUGAAAACUUAUCCCAAAACCCUGCUUUGGAAUGACUUGAAAUAUAGUCAGAAGUAGUCUUUGGGGAGAAUAGACUC
rnacentral:snRNA from 8 species